rnacentral:rRNA from 1 species
UUUCCGGUUGAUCCUGCCGGAGGUCACUGCUAUCGAGGUCCGACUAAGCCAUGCGAGUCGAGAGGGGUUAAGCCCUCGGCAUACUGCUCAGUAACACGUGGAUAACCUGCCCUCAAGACGGGGAUAACCCCGGGAAACUGGGGACAAUACUCGAUAGGUUAUGGUUCCUGGAAUGGUCCAUAGCUCAAAUGCGUUAGCGCUUGAGGAUGGGUCUGCGCCUGAUUAGGUUGUUGCCGGUGUAACGUACCGGCAAGCCGAUAAUCAGUACGGGCUGUGAAAGCAGGAGCCCGGAGAUGGAUUCUGAGACAUGAAUCCAGGCCCUACGGGGCGCAGCAGGCGCGAAACCUUCACACUGCGCGAAAGCGCGAUGAGGGGACCUCGAGUGUCGGUGCCAAGCAUCGACUGUCCCGCUGCCUAAAAAGCAGCGGUUAGCAAGGGCCGGGCAAGACCGGUGCCAGCCGCCGCGGUAACACCGGCGGCUCGAGUGGUGACCACUUUUAUUGAGCUUAAAGGGUCCGUAGCCGGUCUGGUAACUCUCUUGGGAAAUCUGGCGGCUUAACCGUCAGGCGUCCGGGGGAAACUGCCAGACUUGGGAGCGGGGGAGGUUGGAGGUACUCCAGGGGUAGAGGUGAAAUUCUGUAAUCCUUGGGGGACCACCAGUGGCGAAGGCGUCCAACCAAAACGCGUCCGACGGUGAGGGACGAAAGCCAGGGGCACGAACCGGAUUAGAUACCCGGGUAGUCCUGGCCGUAAACGAUGCGGGCUAGGUGUCACAGUGGCUACGAGCCACUGUGGUGCCGUAGAGAAAUCGUGAAGCCUGCCGCUUGGGAAGUACGGCCGCAAGGCUGAAACUUGAAGGAAUUGGCGGGGGAGCACUACAACGGGUGGAACCUGCGGUUUAAUUGGAUUCAACGCCGGG